GCCCCAAUAGCUCAGUUGGUAACUAGACGCAUACCAUUGGUAUGCGUCAGUCGGCACAGAGCGACAGUUUCGUAAACUGUAGGUCGUGAGUUCAAAUCUCACUUGGGGCU
rnacentral:tRNA from 1 species